GCCUCGCUAGCUCAAUUGGCUAGAGCGUGAGACUUUUACGAGUGCUCGGGUGAUCGAGUGAUCUCAAGGUUGCGGGUUCGACCCCCGCGUGAGGCU